UGUUUCUCCCGCCUAUAUACCGCCGUCGUCAGCUUACCCUGUGAAGGUCUAAUAGUAAGCAAAAUUGGCACCGCCCAGAACGUCAGGUCGAGGUGUAGCGCAUGAGAGGGGAAGAAAUGGGCUACAUUCGCUACUACUAGCGAAUACGAACGAUGCACUGAAAACGUUCAUCUGAAGGAGGAUUUAGCAGUAAGUGGAAAAUAGAGUGUUCCGCUGAAAUCGGCUCUGAAGUGCGUACACACCGCCCGUCACUCUCCCCAAGCUUAUCAUUACACAUAUAUAAAACGCUCUAACUGCGAAGGGGAGGCAAGUCGUAACAUGGUAAGUGUACCGGAAGGUGCACUUGGAAAAA
rnacentral:rRNA from 1 species